CAGCAAUGAUCAGGCAACAGUUAAGCAGGGUGGACGAACAACAGUGAGCUUGUUAAGUGGUAAGUCUAAGCUAAGCUAAGUUAGCUAGCUAUUCAAUGGGGUUUAUGCACAGCUAGUGCUUUUCCAUUUCAUAAGGUUCCUUUUACAGCAUUGAUGAUGUAAUGUAAUGAACUGUGUUUAUAUAUAAUACUGUACAUAAAUACUAAUAUUUGUUUGCUUCAUUUUUCAGAUCAAAGAAAACGUUUGCAGUAUUUUCCCACUAAAGAGGAGCAGUUUAUUGAGGCAGAUUUUGAUAAAGAGAAUGGGUGCCAUACAUCAGACCUCACAUUAAAUCAGGGAUGAAUCGAGAGAUGUCGUCCUCUGUUGCUGGUCUAUCUGUAUAAAUAAGAUGAAGAGCUCAUCCAGGAGUGCAAUUGUGGGAAUGCACAGAGAAUUGUUGUCUGUCAGAGGGAUGACCAACCAUGAGGACUUCUGCAUUGUCUUGGAGGAUAAGCGAGUCAUGGCUAGCUUGGAAAAUCUAGAAUUGCUGAACUAGAUUUAUACAAAUAUUCUCCAAAUAAAAAUCACUUACAAAGAAACGAAUAUUAAAUUUGACACAAAUUCACUGCUAAAACCUUUUGGGGAAAAUUUCAGUGCAUUGACUGAUUGAUUGUGUUCCUAAUAUUUUGAGAUAUGGCUUUUAUACUGGUUUUAGAUGUUAUGCAAUACACUAAUUCUGUCAAAUUUUGUCUAAAAUGUGACUGUUCCUAUAAAAGAAACAUUUGACAGAACAUUUUAUUUUCCAUGACAUGGAUAAAGGAAUUUUUAUCAGAGAUUAACAUUGCUGUAAAUUUUAUAUAGAUUUGUUUAACAUAUUGCACCAUUUUGUUAUCAGUGUAACAUGUAAUAAAAU